rnacentral:rRNA from 1 species
GACGAACGCUGGCGGCGUGCCUAAUACAUGCAAGUCGAACGCAUUUUCUUUCACCGUAGCUUGCUACACCGAAAGAAAAUGAGUGGCGAACGGGUGAGUAACACGUGGGUAACCUGCCCAUCAGCGGGGGAUAACACUUGGAAACAGGUGCUAAUACCGCAUAAUUCCAUUUACCGCAUGGUAGAUGGAUGAAAGGCGCUUUUGCGUCACUGAUGGAUGGACCUGCGGUGCAUUAGCUAGUUGGUGGGGUAACGGCCUACCAAGGCUGCGAUGCAUAGCCGACCUGAGAGGGUGAUCGGCCACACUGGGACUGAGACACGGCCCAGACUGCUACGGGAGGCAGCAGUAGGGAAUCUUCGGCAAUGGACGCAAGUCUGACCGAGCAACGCCGCGUGAGUGAAGAAGGUUUUCGGAUCGUAAAACUCUGUUGUUAGAGAAGAACAAGGAUGAGAGUGGAAAGUUCAUCCCUUGACGGUAUCUAACCAGAAAGCCACGGCUAACUACGUG